rnacentral:rRNA from 1 species
GACGAACCGUGCGAACGUUGUUCGGAAUCACUGGGCUUAAAGGGCGCGUAGGCGGGCACGCAAGUCAGGGGUGAAAUCCUCCGGCUCAACCGGAGAACAGCUUUUGAUACUGCGUGCCUCGAGGGGGGUAGGGGCAUGUGGAACUUCCGGUGGAGCGGUGAAAUGCGUAGAUAUCUACUGGAACGCCGAUGGUGAAGACGCUCGGCUGGGCCUGUCCUGACGCUGAGGCACGAAAGCGUGGGGAGCAAACAGG